AUGCCGUGGUGGAGCGCGCCACCAGCGCAUGCGAGCUGCACCUGGUGGCUAGCGUCGGCGUUUCUGAUGGCUGUGGUGGCGAGGUGCUGCGUGCAACCAGAGGAAAUGACGGCGGCGACUCCUUCAACAAGCUCGCUGUGUUUGCUGUUAAGGUGGAGGCCCGGCUGCUCUUCCCUUUCUUUUCAGGCCAUCAUGGUGGUGGAUGGAGGAAGAAGGAGAGGCGGUGAGCUGGACUUUGCAGUUUGGGAAGGAGAUCAUCCUCAAAGGUGUUUGAGACGAGGCAACGACGCCCACUUCGGCUGUCGGCAACCGGUCCUCACCGUCUCGCCAUUGAAUAUGCUGGCCGAAGGGCGGUCCUUUCUCUUCCUCCCGGCCUGGUGCCUAGAUGGGAGGCAGUUCAUCUCCGAAUCGGAGUCUAAGGCUUCUUCUUCUACGGUGUUGUGCUACGGGAGAAGUAGCUGCGGAGGUCCCGGCGUACCAAGUGGUAACAUCCCCGGCGACGACGGGAUUGGAUCCGGUUGGAGAUGA
rnacentral:rRNA from 1 species